UGGAGUGUAACUUAGUGGUAGAGAAUGUGCUUAGCAAGUACAAGACCCUGGGUUUGAUCCCCAGCAUCACAG
rfam:Ictidomys tridecemlineatus contig013857, whole genome shotgun sequence.